AUAACCAUUGGAAACGAUGGCUAAUACCGCAUAAUGCCUACGGGCCAAAGAGGGGGACCUUCGGGCCUCUCGCGUCAGGAUAUGCCUAGGUGGGAUUAGCUAGUUGGUGAGGUAAUGGCUCACCAAGGCGACGAUCCCUAGCUGGUCUGAGAGGAUGAUCAGCCACACUGGAACUGAGACACGGUCCAGACUCCUACGGGAGGCAGCAGUGGGGAAUAUUGCACAAUGGGCGCAAGCCUGAUGCAGCCAUGCCGCGUGUGUGAAGAAGGCCUUCGGGUUGUAAAGCACUUUCAGUCGUGAGGAAGGUAGUGUAGUUAAUAGCUGCAUUAUUUGACGUUAGCGACAGAAGAAGCACCGGCUAACUCCGUGCCAGCAGCCGCGGUAAUACGGAGGGUGCGAGCGUUAAUCGGAAUUACUGGGCGUAAAGCGCAUGCAGGUGGUUUGUUAAGUCAGAUGUGAAAGCCCGGGGCUCAACCUCGGAAUAGCAUUUGAAACUGGCAGACUAGAGUACUGUAGAGGGGGGUAGAAUUUCAGGUGUAGCGGUGAAAUGCGUAGAGAUCUGAAGGAAUACCGGUGGCGAAAGCGGCCCCCUGGACAGACACUGACACUCAGAUG
rnacentral:rRNA from 1 species